GUGUGGGCGGAGCAAAAAGCGUCCCGGUCCUUGCCGAGGGCAGGAAGUGAAGAGGCCGGGCUUGUCUGGCGAGGUGUGCGCGUGCGCAUAGGUCGGGUCGGCGGACUCUUCUCUAUUGCUACUGCUGGGAUAAUCAAGUAAAACAAAAAUGAGCUUCAUCUAUGGACUGCAGUCUGCUGCUAGAAACUGUUUUUUCUUCCGAUUUAAUUUACUGACCAACUGGAGAAAAUGUAACACACAAGCUGUAACCUCAGGAGACUUUCAUCAAAUGAAAAUUAACCAUAUAGUAAAUAAAUCUCUGGGCCUGGGAGUAAAUCACGGUGAUAGAUGGACUCCUCUGCCUGAAAACUUUCUCUUCUAUAGGACUUUUAAUACCAAAAGAAAAGGCUGCCUUUUGACCACCAGAAGUAAGGAAAUUUGGAUGAUUAGCCGAAAAUGUACUGCAUGGACUGACUCUUUUUCAAGACAGCUACAGAUGAAGGACGUUCCCAUAGUUCCUGCUCAUUCAGUGUCGCAUCCCUUGAACCAUUUACCCACAAGAGACAUCAGGAGUUUCCACACUUCUCCAAGGUGCCAAGCUGCUCCUGCUCCUCUGUUGUUGAUGAUUCUUAAGCCAGUGCAGAAACUGCUUGCAAUCAUUGUGGGCAGGGGCAUAAGAAAAUGGUGGCAGGCACUUCCUCCUAACAAGAAGGAACUAUUUAAAGAAAGUUUAAGGAAGAAUAAAUGGAAGCUCUUUCUUGGCUUGAGUAGUUUUGGAUUGCUUUUUGUAGUGUUUUAUUUUACACAUCUGGAAGUGAGUCCAGUCACAGGAAGGAGCAAGCUACUGUUAUUGGGGAAAGAACAUUUCAGACUUUUAUCAGAACUGGAAUAUGAAGCAUGGAUGGAAGAAUUUAAAAAUGAUAUGCUAACUGAGAAAGACGCCCGAUAUGUGGCUGUUAAAGCAGUGGUUCAUCAUUUAAUUGAAUGCAAUCAAGAUAUUCCAGGGAUCUCUGAGAUCAAUUGGAUUAUUCAUGUGGUUGAUUCCCCAGAUAUAAAUGCCUUUGUACUUCCAAAUGGACAAGUAUUCAUCUUCACUGGACUUUUAAAUAGUGUGACUGAUAUUCAUCAGCUUUCCUUCCUUCUGGGCCAUGAAAUAGCACAUGCAGUACUUGAGCAUGCUGCAGAAAAGGCUAGCUUGGUUCACUUAUUGGAUUUCCUAGGUCUGAUUUUUCUUACGAUGAUUUGGGCCAUUUGUCCUCGAGAUAGUUUGGCACUUUUGGGCCAGUGGAUACAGUCUAAACUGCAGGAGUUUUUGUUUGAUAGACCAUAUAGUAGAACGCUGGAGGCUGAAGCUGACAAAAUUGGACUACAGCUUGCUGCCAAGGCCUGUGUGGACGUCAGAGCCAGUUCAGUGUUUUGGCAGCAGAUGGAAUUUGCAGAAAGCCUCCAUGGUCAUCCCAAGUUGCCAGAAUGGUUGUCUACACACCCUUCUCAUGGCAAUCGAGCUGAGCACUUGGAUAAGCUCAUACCUCAGACCCUCACUGGACCAUGAACUCUAAGAAGGAAGAUUCUCAUCUGCUUAUUUCUGAAUCCCCAGUGCUGAUGACAAGCAAUACGUGCUUAUUAUGUUUUUACUAAUCAGGAGAUGGAAAAUCGAGGGAAGAGAGAAGGCGGGUAGAGCAGAGAGUAGAACGCACCAGAAUACAGUGACAAGUAGCACAGACUCUGACCCACCGCCCAGGAGCCCCCACCCCCGUCUAGCAGGAACACAGAGGCAUGGACAGGUGCCCGGGCAGUGGGAUGAAGUCCAUGAUAGAUGAAGGUCGGGGCAGUGGCAGCACUGAAGGUGACACAUCACUCCGCGUCACGGCAUCAAGGCUUUCUGGAGGAAGUGACCUCCAGAAGAGAACCAGGUGGAGCCAGGGGAAGGAAGAGAGGAUGGCGUGUGGCAGGGGAGAGAGGUUGUUCCUUCAAGAAAGAACUGUCCCCCGAGGCCUGAAAAAGGAAGAGCAAAGUGACAGUGCUUCGCAUGAGACCACUCGAGCGUCCUCCCUUUCCUCUACCAUCCGGGCUCAGAAUCCAGUGCUCCACAGACUUCAACUGGGCACCCACGUGGCUUCUGUUUACACUUACUUGAUCUGUAUUAGUCCAGGUCCAUAGAAGAAGCAGAAACCAGAAACAGACAGGAUUAAAUGUAUAGGAAAUCUGAAACGGGAGAGAAAAUGAGGGGGAAGUCAGGAGAGAUGGGAGGAGCUACAGCGUGUGAAGUUGAUGUGACCCUGAGUGAAGGACAGAGGGAAGGCAGAGGGUUGGGUGGAAAUUCUUAGACAAUCCUGAGUCUGGCAAAGCUGUCUGGGGGUCCUUGAACCCAAGCUGCCCGGGUGAGGAGGCCCGAGUCUUCCCUGAAUGACCCUGCUGAGCGUCCCUCGCUGGGUUCUGCCACUGGCUGGGAGCUGCCAGGAACCAGCAUGGUGCAACGGCAGUGCUGGACUUCAGAGCACAAUGGCUGGGACCACUGGUCAGUUACGCUCCCUGAGGUUGGACAUCUGAGAGGCACAUUCUUACAGCCACCAUACUGCUCUAGGUUUCUUCCUGUCCAAAAUCUGGCUUCUCUCUUGGCCUCAGGUCCUGAGUUUUAAUGGGGAAACAUUUCUGACCAGAGGUGGUAUAGGGGUACAGCUUGGAGUCAUCCCCCCAGCUCAGACACUUACCAGCUGGGUACUUUAGUCAAGCUACCUAAGCCCCCAGUUUUCUCAUCUGAAAAUGUGGAUUCCCACACUGUGUCAUAGGAGCAAAUGAAUGAAAGCACAUGGCAAGUGCUCCAUAAAUGUUAUCCAUUAUAACUGUAGUGGAGCCAUUUUGAUUUGCAGGCUAUUUCAAUGCAUCACCUUGACAGGACUGUAUCAAAUGUGAAAUACCGUGUGUCCUACCACGACCUAUGUCAGAUACACCCAACCUCACUCUGCCCAUCUUUCUGCAAAGCUUCUUCUGACCCUGGGGGUUGGUUUUAGGAUCCUCCUCUGAUUCUGCUUCCCUGGAGGCUUAGAUGGUAAAGAAUCUGCCUGCAGUGCAGGAGACACAGGUUCGAUCUCUGGGUUGGGAAGUCCCCUUGGUGAAGAGAAUGGCUACCCCCUCCAGCAUUCUUGCCUGGAGAAUCCCAUGGACAGAGGAGCCUGGCGGGCUACAGUCCAUGGAGUCACAAAGAGUUGGAUAUGACUUAGAGAUUGAAUCACAACAACAAAGGUCUAAAGACAAGAGCUGACUAAUGUGGAGGUCUGGAUCCUCCACAUCCUCUCUCAGACUGUCACCUGGUCAGUUCCUUCUCAGGAGCCUGCUGGACUGAGCCCCCACUCAUCACAUAUGCUAUGUACUUUAUACUUUAUUAGGUGACUUCAUAUUUCUUACUUCCUUUCAUUGUCACAAUAGCCUAGUAACAAUAAUUGGUAUUAUUAUUUCAUCUUGCAGAUGAGGGAAAUGAAACUCAGAGAGGUUAAAUAACUUGCCUAAGACCACAGAGCCUGUAAAACGUGGAGUUCAGACUUGCACACAAAUCUAGACAGUAGAAUGCCUGAGCACUUUCUUUACAUUGCUUAUUUUUCUCUUCAUUGUGUGUUUCACUCCUCCAUUUAGAAACUCAGGCUCAAGGGACAUGCUUCCACUUUGUUCCAAUUCCUCCCAAAGACCUCGUGUAUACAAUAGGUGCUGUCUAAACACUGCCUGAGUAAAAGCCAACAUGCAAUCAUAUCAUAUGUCAACCCCUAGAGAAGCCCUGUGUAGAAACAGACCCUGUAUAUGCACGCCAGCCCUCAGACUAUGUGCCCUGGGCAACGGGUGUGGCGCCUUUAAGGAGACAUCUCUGGUUAAAAAGCAAGACGCUCUUCUGUCUGUGCCUGCCCACUGGUGGUGGAUUUUUCAGCCAGAUCUCUGCUCCCCCCUCUUGCACUGUGUUCCUCCUUGUCCUCUCCUCCCUGCAGCCCAGGCUCCACAUCUCCUCUCAUUUAGGUCCACUUUACUUGACUCCUUUGGCAGUGAGCUCACUUUCUUCCCACCACAGCUCCCUGCCAGUUCCUAGCUUUGGGGCAUUCACCCAGAGCCCCCCAGACCCGACUCCACAGGUAUCCCAUGGUCAGCAGUCCCACAGCCUGCCCUGUCUCAGUAACCAGGCACCAGUGAGAUGCACAGUAAGAGCUGUACAAAUUCAUAUAUAUUUGUGUUCAGACUUGAACACAAAUCUAGACAGUGAUGCCAGGAUCUUACACAGAUGGAUCCACCUGGCCACAAGGAUCCAUGCCCACUAGGCCAAGAGCAGAGACCCAGACAUGCAUGUGUGCCCAUGGGGGCAGACACAGGGUCCGCAGGCAAACCCACUUGUGUUUUGCAUGCAAGGUGUGUUCAGAUGCACAGGUACACGCACAUGUAGACUCUCUGUUGUGCAUAUGACCUUAUGCAUCUGAGAGUUCAUACUCUUCGGUACAUGGAUACCAGUGUAUGCAAACUCAGUGCUGUGUGCCCUCCCAUGGUGACACACACAGGCCUGCAAGGGCAUGGAAGGCAGCCUUAACUGCCUCCUCCCCCGGGGGAUUCCAUCCCAGCUCGUGGCCUUUUCAAAGACAGGUUCACACCUUCUCUUUGGGGUCAGCUCUGCCUGUGUCAAGCUGUCUGCCCCCAGAAACAGAGCCCAGACUGGUGGUCUAGGAUUCCCCAGGUGUGCACACGAUGGCCUGUCACCUCCACACUCAGCCUCCCCUCCCACCAGGAGCUCGCUGCUCUCGGCGGGGAAGGUGGUGAGGCUGGAGGUAAUUAAAUCUCUCUUUUCACUUCAGCAACAUUGAUCUGUACAGGGACACACUCUGACUCCAAAGGAACAAAGCUUUUAAUUUCCCAGCUGGAAUGUGCUGUUCUCAGACUUAUUUCAUGUGUGAGUCAGAAAACUGAAAAGUACAACACAUUCUGUCAUCUUCGGAGCAUGCUGUAGCUUGUAAGGCACUAUUGUACCAUUUCAUUUGAGUCUCACAGUAUGCCUGUGGGUAGUAGGUAGUAUAUGCAUUCUCCUAUUUUACUGAUGCAGAAACCGAGGCUAAAACAAUAACGAUAGCUGUCACUGAUUUUCUGCUAGAUGUCAGGCACUGUUCUAAGUACUUUGCAUAUUUUGAUUUUUAAAAAUCCUAACCACAACUCUUAGAGGUAUGUCUGUCCUCACCCCUAUUUUAUAGUUGAGGAAACUGAACACAAUAAGGUCUUAUCAACAGCCUGAGGCAUUCAUUCACUCAACAGCCAGUCUGGCUUCACCAGAUGCUAUAUGAAGUUGAAGGGACUUGAUGCAGGGUACUUGUCAUUUGGGUAAAAAUCUAAAGCAAUGACUUCCCUCAUUUUGACCACCAAUGACCCAUACAUGAUUUUCAUACAUUGAUUGACUCCACCCUUGAAAGAUUUUACCCAGUACAAGCACUGUAUUUAUUGGUAAAUAGCCUGUCUCAUGCCAUUUUUUAGAAAUUUUGAAGUUUGGAGAAUACCCUGAAGUUUUAGGUACCCUGAACCUCUGAAUACCUUCAGAAUACCCUGAACCUCUGAAACACUGCUAUAGACAGAGAUUCCUUGGGAUUGAGGUGACUCAGUCUGGGGACACUUGAGAUGUGGCAGAGAAAUUUUGAGGUACUUCCCUUAUUGAUCUGGGUCCAAAUCCUGGAUCUGCCAUUUACCCUUUAGGUGUCCUUGAUCAAAUAACCUGUCUGAGCCUCAGUUCGCUUCCUUGCAGUGUCAGAUGGAAUAAAGAGCACCCGAAACUGUAGCAUCAAGGCACAGCGGGGUGAUCACGGAUGCCCCACAAUACCACCGAGUGAACAAAGAAGUGUUUGUAAUUGUCAGAAACAAUGUAGCCAGCACAAGUAUAUGCAAUCAGCUACGUAAAUUGUAAAUUGUGAACCGUAUGUUAACGUUCUCUUUUCCCUGAGACAGGGUGGAAUCAGCACAUUUCUCAUUAAGAUAGAAAAUAAAAACAGAGAAAAAUCAUGAGCCCUUUUGAAUAACUCAGUCUCAGGGAGAGCUCAUUCUCUUCACGGCAGUACUACCCUUGUUCAUGUCGAUGCUUGCCUGCCUCGGUGUCCAUUAAUGUACACCUUUCGACUUAUUUUUUUUUAAAAAGCUCUUGAGUAGUUUAGCUGGGUUCAGUUGCAGUUUUGUCCAUGGUUACUGUACUAAUAUGAAAUCAACUUCAGAACAAACCUUGCUUUCUCCCUGGCAAUCCCUGAGCAGCUCUGAUUCUCCAGAGCGGCCAUCUCUUGUCUGCUCUCCAUCUCUGCUCUCUCCUUUCUCACCCAUCCUGCCAGUUCCUUACUUAGAAAUGUUUCAGGAGAAUGAGCAUGAGUAUAAAUCACAUUGGAAAUAACUGGGCUCUAGACCAGUCCUUUUUGAUCAUGAGCCUCUACUGACACUGGAAACUUUGAGCAUCCAGGAUCAAUGUAUGCACAUUUCUUUGUUUAAAAAUUGUAUCAUUACACGUGUACUAAUAUUUUUUGUGUAAGACAAACACAAAUGGAGAUUUUUUUCUUUUUUGGCUAUGCCAUGUGGCAUGUGGGCUCUUAGUUCCCUUUCUAGGGAUACAAUCUGCACUCCUUCAUUGGAAUUUCAGAGUUUUAACCACUGGACCUCCUUCUCCGGUGGGAAGUCCACAAAUGGAAAUUUUUAAGAUUGGAAUUUUUUGAAAGCCUGAAAUAAAAAUAAACACUAAUUUAAAAAUAAUUAGUGACCCAUAAAUACAUACUCACACUAAAAUAUUGUGAUUUUGAAAAUCUUGCAACACUUUCUGAAAUAGUUAAUUAAAAGUUUCGCCCAGGGCCUUCCCUGGUGGUCCAGUGGUAAAGACUCCAUUGAUUCCACUGCAGAGGGUGCAAGUUGGAUCCCUGGCCGGGGAACUAAGAUCCCUUAAGCUGUGCAGUGUGGCCAAAAAGUUAAAAAAAAAAAUCAAAAGUUUGGCUCAAAGUUUAAUUUAUGUGAGAGGUUGAAUUUAAUCAUUGUCUUAGCUAUACGGGACUGCCAACAGCUGUUUUCAUCAUAGGAAAUAUCAGUAAAUUCCAAACCUUUGUCUUUUUUAAAAAUAAUUUCAUAUGUCAUCUCUCUUCUAGACAACUCUUUUAAGUAUUUAGCUCUGGGAUAACUAGUGAGCCUCUGUUUGGUAUAGAUUUUCACCAUCUUCACCCAACUCUAGUAUCUCAGACAAUAAUCUGUAAAGUCACUUAAUUAUACUCAUGUCCUUACAGUAAACCAUUAAAUGCUGAAAAGUAAAAAUUGAAUGAGGAUUCUGUGGGUAGCCUUUCUGUCUUGUGGGACACUUACCUUUUCUUCACAGAAAGAAAAGAGAGUAGAGAGUAGAUGACAGAAAGACCCAGUAAGAGCAUAAGAGCAUCAGAGCUUAUCUGCAUAUUCAGUUCAGUUCAGUUCAGUCACUCAGUCGUGUCCGACUCUUUGUGACCCCAUGAAUCGCAGCACGCCAGGCUUCCCCGUCUAUCACCAACUCCCGGAGUUCACCCAAAC